rnacentral:rRNA from 1 species
UAGGGAAUCUUCCGCAAUGGGCGAAAGCUUGACGCAGCAACGCCGCGUGAGUUAUGAAGGUCUUCGGAUCGUAAAACUCUGUUAUUAGGGAAGACCAAAUGUGUAAGUAACUAUGCACGUCUUGACGGUACCUAAUCAGAAAGCCACGGCUAACUACGUGCCAGCAGCCGCGGUAAUACGUAGGUGGCAAGCGUUAUCCGGAAUUAUGGGGCGUAAAGCGCGUGUAGGCGGUUUUUUAAGACUGAUGUGAAAGCCCCCGGCUCAACCGUGGGGGGUCAUUGGAAACUGGAAAACUUGAGUGCAGAAGAGGAAAGUGGAAUUCCAUGUGUAGCGGUGAAAUGCGCAGAGAUAUGGAGGAACCCCAGUGGCGAAGGCUACUUUCUAGUCGGUAACUGACGCUGAUGUGCGAAAGCGUGGGGAUCAAACAGG